ensembl:lncRNA
AUAAUCAUUCAUAGAUGAUUCAUAAUUAUAUUGCAGGACUAUCUGGGAAGAUACAGUUUUCCUUUUAAACAGUGAAUGUAAAAUGUCAACAAUAGUCCCAUUUAUUACAGAAUUUCUAAUGUCUGUCACUGUGAUUCAUUCUUUACAUAGCUCAAAAGAGCCGAGUGAUUAUCACAAAUCAAUGUGAUCUUUCUGGGAGGUCUAUUAUUUUGAGUCAUCCUUGAGAAAGGUUUUUCAAAAACCUGUUUGCAGGAGGUGGGAAUAUUCUCACUUCUCAAGUUGUCACGGCAGCCAACGAUAAACAUGGAUUUGCAUUCCAAAACUCAUUUACCCAAGGCCUAUGACAUUUCAAACUCUCCAAGGCUCACUAGGACAUGGGAUAUCUCCAACUCAGGGAAAAGUUCUUUAAGGAGUCUGGUCAUCAGGGCUGUGAGGGAAAGGACAAGCAGAGGCAGGGACAAAUGGUCGCAACUGGACAUCAGAAGAAGAGAAGGACUAAAGCAUCUGAGACCCAAACUGGCUACGGGACAAGUGUUUGGCACAGACAUGAACAUGGAUGGAACAAAGAAGAUUAAAGGACAAGUAAGGCCACCAGGAAUUCUUGGAAGCACAGACAAAAACCAAUCCAAGACAAAACAACUUCCUGACUGUGGAGGAAAAGGAGCAAUGAGAUAAAGAAGAGAACAACGGAAUAAGUUGUGGCUCAGGGGCCCGAGAAUUGGCCUUCCACCCUGCCCUCUCCUAAGACCAAUCCCUGAUGAUCCUGAGGAUCAUCAAAACUCCACAGAUGUUUGGGGGGUUCCAGGGAAAAGAUAAAUUCCCCACAUCCAAGAUAGAGUAGGGAGACCUCAACCCUUUAGAGAAGCUGUGUAGAGCCUGGAACUUCAGCUGUAGAGUAGAAAUGGCUAGAGAAGAGCAUGCAACAAUAUUCCAAGCUCUGAGAGACAUAAAUAGAGAGGAGCAAACCAGGCACUAUGAUCUAGGGAGAGAACAGAAUGACCACAGAGGUGGCCUGUGAGCAGAGAAGUAUGUUUCAGUCAAGCAUGCAAUGAGCUGGUUCCACGAAACCAAAGACCAGCAAUGAUCAUACGUCUCGUCAGAAACCAAGAGCACCUAUUAUGUGCUAGGUGAUGUUCUAGUCCUUGGAUCCAGCGCUGAAAAAAACAGCUAAGUGUGCUGUUGUGAUUUCUGCAAUGUAUGGAGAUUUCCCCAAAUGUAGGAGGUUAACGGAUGACGUUACACCUGCCUAGCAGUAGCAGACAUCAUGAUUUCUAAGCCACAGGGAUUCCCUUUGUGGCAUCCAGCUUUCUUCUGAAGACCCCGCUUUGUGCCUUGUGGCUGAUUCCUAUCCUCACUCUCUAUAGAAGUCUUUCUCCAUCAUCUCUUUCCCUCAGAUCCAGGGGUUUCUCUGAAACAUUUCUCUCUUGAGCCUACAAAAGAAAAUGGAAAAUUGAUUUAAAAAAGGUAGAACAGAAUCACGUAGCUUAUUUUGUCUUGUCUUAGUGCCCUGGACCUUAACUUUCAUAAACAAAAGCCGCACGACAGUGUUUGCUG